UACGAAGGGGGCUAGCGUUGCUCGGAAUCACUGGGCGUAAAGGGUGCGUAGGCGGGUCUUUAAGUCAGGGGUGAAAUCCUGGAGCUCAACUCCAGAACUGCCUUUGAUACUGAAGAUCUUGAGUUCGGGAGAGGUGAGUGGAACUGCGAGUGUAGAGGUGAAAUUCGUAGAUAUUCGCAAGAACACCAGUGGCGAAGGCGGCUCACUGGCCCGAUACUGACGCUGAGGCACGAAAGCGUGGGGAGCAAACAGGAUUAGAAA
rnacentral:rRNA from 1 species